rnacentral:tRNA from 1 species
AAUAUAGUGCCUGAUUAAAGGAUAGUUUUGAUAGAACUAAUCAAGUAAUAUGCUCAUUACCUAUAUUG